rnacentral:lncRNA from 10 species
GUAGUCCCAGCUACUCAGGAGGCUGAGGCAGGAGAAUGGCGUGAACCCGGGAGGUGGAGCUUGCAGCCACUGCACUCCAGCCUGGGGGACAGAGCGAGACUCCGUCACAAAAAAAAAAAAAAAAAAAAAAAAAAAUGAAAUGUAGACUGCCCUACUGUGUAGCCUUUGAGCUCAUCCACUAGGCCAUGCUGGCUCCUACUAAGACGUCCAAAUGUAGGUGUCUGUGAUCCAUUGAAAGGGAAAAAAAUUUGAGAAGCAAGUGCAUAGAAUUACCCCAAAGCUAAAAUAAACUGAACAUUAAGAAGCAAUUUCUAAGCAAAGGGGUGUUAGUAAUAGCAUUUUCUUUUUCACAGAAGUGAGGAAACUGCAUCCAGUCAGUGCAGGUCAUUAAACUCAAGCAAAAGUUCACUGAAGCAAAGACACCUAUUGUUUAUCUCACAAAAUAACUGGAGGGUUUUCCAGAGAGAGUGGAGCACAAGGUAAAUUACCUAGUGGAAAUGUCAACAGGACAGGACUGCACACUAGGGUCUUUUUCAUGUGCAAUUGACAACAGCUAAAAAUAAAUUGAACUUGGCAAUGGCUCCCCAUGUUCCUGCAGCCCCAGGGGGCUACUUUCAUUUUAAUAAAUGAUUGAACAAAGUGUUUAACUUCUUUCUGUUUUCAGACUGGUAUUCAGGGGCAUAGGAAAUGCAUUAUUGAAUAUUUUCCUGUGCUUUGGCUUCAGGUAAAGGGCUGUUCUUAGCAACCAGAGCUAAAGAGCUGUGUGGGCUUACCCAUGAAGAGUACUGAAAAUUCAAGUUGUGUUAUUAGAAGUGAAGUUAUAUCCUGUGCCAUCCAUGUCCCUUCCUACUUCCCCAUGACAGACGUAAGGGAAUGGUUCAAUAACAUUCAGUGCCCUAAAGGAGGAAAGGAGAUUGUAGUAUACUCAACUGAAUUAAGAAGAAAGACCUUCCAAUCUUCUUGUCAGGCCUCUGAGCCCAAGCUAAACCAUCGUAUGCCCUGUGACCUGCAUAUAUAUGUCCAGAUGGCCUGAAGCAAGUGAAGAAUCACAAAAGAAGUGAAAAUGGCCUGUUCCUGCCUUAACUGAUGACAUUCCACCAUUGUGAUUUGUUUCUGCCCCACCUUAACUCAGCGAUUAACCUUGUGAAAUUCCUUCUCCUGGCUCAGAAGCUCCCCCACUGAGCACCUCGUGACACCCCCACCCCUGCCCACAAGAGAAAAAACCCCCUUUGAUUGUAAUUUUCCACUACCCACCCAAAUCCUAUAAAAUGGCCCCACCCCUAUCUCCCUUUGCUGACUCUCUUUUUGGUCUCAGCCCGCCUGCACCCAGGUGAUUAAAAAGCUUUAUUGCUCACAC